AGUGAACGCUGGCGGUAGGCCUAACACAUGCAAGUCGAACGGCAGCACAGUAAGAGCUUGCUCUUACGGGUGGCGAGUGGCGGACGGGUGAGGAAUACAUCGGAAUCUACUUUUUCGUGGGGGAUAACGUAGGGAAACUUACUCUAAUACCGCAUACGACCUACGGGUGAAAGCAGGGGAUCUUCGGACCUUGCGCGAUUGAAUGAGCCGAUGUCGGAUUAGCUAGUUGGCGGGGUAAAGGCCCACCAAGGCGACGAUCCGUAGCUGGUCUGAGAGGAUGAUCAGACACACUGGAAGUGAGACACGGUACAGACUCCUAGGGGAGGCAGCAGUGGGGAAUAUUGGACAAUGGGGGAGAGCCUGAUCCAGCCAUACCGCGUGGGUGAAGAAGGACUUCGGGUUGUAAAGCCCUUUUGUUGGGAAAGAAAAGCAGCAGGUUAAUACCCCGCUGUUCUGACGGUACCCAAAGAAUAAGCACCGGCUAACUUCGUG
rnacentral:rRNA from 1 species